rnacentral:rRNA from 1 species
GACGAACGCUGGCGGCGUGCUUAACACAUGCAAGUCGAACGGUGAUGGGGAAGCUUGCUUCUUCUGAUCAGUGGCGAACGGGUGAGUAACACGUGAGUAACCUGCCCCAGACUCUGGGAUAAGCCUUGGAAACGAGGUUUAAUACCGGAUAUGCAGCGUUCCCGCAUGGGAUGCGUUGGGAAAGUUUUUCGGUCUGGGAUGGACUCGCGGCCUAUCAGCUUGUUGGUGAGGUAAUGGCUCACCAAGGCGACGACGGGUAGCCGGCCUGAGAGGGCGACAUGCCACCCCGGAACUGGUACACGGUCCAGACGCCUACGUGGGGCAGGAGUGGGGAGUAUUGCCCAAUGGGCGAAGGCCUGAUGCAGCGACGCCGCGUGGGGGAUGAAGGCCUUCGGGUUGUAAACCCCUUUCAGCAGGGAAGAAGCGAAAGUGACGGUACCUGCAGAAGAAGCGCCGGAUAACUACGUGCCAGCCGCCGCCGUAAUAC